AUCUUUUUUUUCAUUUUUUUUUUAAAAUUCAAACGAAUAUAUUUUGUAGGUUUCAAUAUUUUAUAAUUAUCAUAUAUGAACCAUUUGUUAAGUAAGAGUAUGAAUGGUAUUGCCUGUCGUUCCGUGGGUUAUGAUAGUUUUACAUUCUAAACAUAUAAUACACUCAACUUUGUCAAAGGUGUUUCACCUUAUUGUGUGAUAUUUUUCAUAAAAGAGAGGGGAAAGAUAUCUGAGGGACAUGAAAACUCAUAAAUCGAAUAAAAUAAUGAUAAUGGCUUAAAAAGAAAAGACAAAGAUACAAAAAAAAAAUAUACACAAAACACAACAAAGAAAAUAUAAGACUUAUCAACACGAACCCCAACACAAACUGUGUGUGAUCUAAGGUGCUCACGACGGAUAAUCAUAUCCUGCUCCACACAUGGCACAUGUUAUGUUGCUUAUGUUUAUACAACCCGGUAGGUCACUCGUGAAAAAGGGAACAUGAGUGUAGUUUAGGACAUAAGGAGCAUAUCCGCUAUCAUUUGUAAAACGGAUAUUCCAUAACGGUAAACCAACUCAUAAAGCGAUCAUUUUACGGUAAUGUGUUUGAAAUAAAUUGUAAUUUGAUGAAGAUUACCUUUAUCUUUUCGUCGUGUUUUGUUAUUGUCAUUAAGUUGUCGGCUUAUUAUCGACAUAUGAAUACUUCUUUGGCAUCUUCUGCAAAUAUUAAACAGAACAAAUAAUAUAGAUAGUAUAUAGCCCCAUUUUCAAGAUAUGUUCAAUUACGAGGGUACUUCUUUUUUUAGCUCACCUGGCCCGAAGGGCCAAGUGAGCUAUUCCCAUCACUUUGCGUCCGGCGUCCGUCGUCGUCCGUCGUCGUCCGUCGUCCGUCGUCGUCCGUCGUCCGUCGUCGUUAACUUUUACAAAAAUCUUCUCCUCUGAAACUACUGGGCCAAAUCAAACCAAACUUGGCCACAAUCAUCAUUGGGGUAUCUAGUUUAAAAAAUGUGUGGCGUGACCCGGUCAACCAACCAAGAUGGCCGCCACAGCUAAAAAUAGAACAUAGGGGUAAAAUGCAGUUUUUGGC
rnacentral:lncRNA from 1 species